GACGAACGCUGGCGGCGUGCUUAAUACAUGCAAGUCGAACGAAAAGGCCCUGCUUUUGCUGCUUGCUCGAUUGCCGCACGCGUGUGUAACACGUGAGUAACCUCCCCUUGACUUUGUGGUAACUUCAGGAAACUGGGGCUCAUACCGCAUAGGAUCUUCUGCUGCAUGUUGUUGGUUGGAAAGUUUUGGCGGUUGGGGAUGGACUCGCGGCUUAUCAGCUUUUUUGUGUGGUAGUGGCUUACCAAGGUUUUGACGGGUAGCCGGCCUGAGAGGGUUACCGGCGACAUGGGGACUGAGAUACGGCCCAGACUCCUACGGGAGGCAGCAGUGGGGAGUAUGGCACAAUGGGCGGAAGUCUGAGGCAGCAACGCCGCGUGCGGGAUGACGGGCUUCGGGUUGUAAACAGCUUUCGACGGUAACGAAGAGUGAGUGACGGUAAUGGGUAAAGAAGCAACGGCUAACUACGUG
rnacentral:rRNA from 1 species